rnacentral:misc_RNA from 1 species
AGCAGCCGCGGUAAUUCCAGCUCCAAUAGCGUAUAUUAAAGUUGCUGCAGUUAAAAGCUCGUAGUUGAAUUUCGGGAUCAAUAUGUUGGUCGUGCCUCGGUACGUACUAGCUUAUUGGUUUCUUCCUUCUGACGAACCAUAAUGUCAUUUAUUUGGUGUUAUGGGGAAUCAGGACUGUUACUUUGAAAAAUUAGAGUGUUUAAAGCAGGCUCACGCUUGAAUACAUUAGCAUGGAAUAAUGAAAUAGGACGUUUGAUUCUAUUUUGUUGGUUUCUAGGAUCGACGUAAUGAUUAAUAGGGAUAGUUGGGGGCAUUAGUAUUCAAUUGUCAGAGGUGAAAUUCUUGGAUUUAUUGAAGACUAACUACUGCGAAAGCAUUUGCCAAGGAUGUUUUCAUUAAUCAAGAACGAAAGUUAGGGAUCGAAGACGAUCAGAUACCGUCGUAGUCUUAACCAUAAACUAUGCCGACUAGGGAUCGGAUGAUGUUAAUUUUUUAAUGACUCAUUUGGCGCCUUAACC